GGUCUUAUAAAUGCUGACGGUCUGU
rnacentral:piRNA from 1 species